UGGGGAAUAUUGGACAAUGGGCGCAAGCCUGAUCCAGCAAUGCCGCGUGGGUGAAGAAGGUCUUCGGAUUGUAAAGCCCUUUCGACGGGGACGAUGAUGACGGUACCCGUAGAAGAAGCCCCGGCUAACUUCGUGCCAGCAGCCGCGGUAAUACGAAGGGGGCUAGCGUUGCUCGGAAUGACUGGGCGUAAAGGGCGCGUAGGCGGCGAUGAUAGUCAGGCGUGAAAUUCCUGGGCUCAACCUGGGGACUGCGCUUGAUACGUUAUUGCUUGAGUUCGGAAGAGGGUCGUGGAAUUCCCAGUGUAGAGGUGAAAUUCGUAGAUAUUGGGAAGAACACCGGUGGCGAAGGCGGCGACCUGGUCCGAAACUGACGCUGAGGCGCGAAAGCGUGGGGAGCAAACAGGAUUAGAUACCCCCGUAGUCC
rnacentral:rRNA from 1 species